AUUAGUGGCAGACGGGUGAGUAAUGCAUAGGAAUCUACCUAGUAGUAUAGGAUAGCCACUAGAAGUGGUGGGUAAUACUGUAUAAUCCCUGCGGGGGAAAGAUUUAUCGCUACAUGAUGAGCCUAUGUUAGAUUAGCUAGUUGGUGGGGUAAUGGCCUACCAAGGCAGUGAUCUAUAGCUGGUCUGAGAGGAUGAUCAGCCACACUGGAACUGAGACACGGUCCAGACUCCUACGGGAGGCAGCAGUGGGGAAUAUUGGACAAUGGGCGCAAGCCUGAUCCAGCUAUGCCGCGUGAGUGAGGAAGGCCUUAGGGUUGUAAAACUCUUUCAGUAGGGAAGAUAAUG
rnacentral:rRNA from 1 species